GACGGAAGGUGCAAGCGUUGCUCGGAAUCACUGGGCGUAAAGGGUGCGUAGGCGGCCGUGCAAGUCUGGCGUGAAAGCCCCGGGCUCAGCCCGGGAAGUGCGCUCGAAACUGCGCGGCUCGAGUGCCGGAGGGGAGAGUGGAAUUCCUGGUGUAGCGGUGAAAUGCGUAGAUAUCGGGAGGAACACCGGUGGCGAAGGCGGCAUCCUGGACCGACACUGACGCUGAGGAGCGAAAGCCAGGGGAGCAAAGCGGGG
rnacentral:rRNA from 1 species